GGAUUCCUUGGUACGGCGAGUGAAGAGGGAAGAGCCCAGCACCGAAGCCUGCGACAGUUUUGCUGUUAGGCAAUGUGGUGUGAGGGUCGGUUGGCGGGAUUGUCACUCCACUUGAAGUCCAGCAUUGAGUAUGGCUAUCACUGGAUUUGGCCCAUAGAGGGUGAGAGGCCCGUACGAGUGGAGAUCCAGAUAUGUGUGACGAUUCACCAGGCCGACCUCAGAGUCGGGUUGUUUGAGAUUGCAGCCCAAAGAGGGUGGUAAACUCCAUCCAAGGCUAAAUACUGACACGAGUCCGAUAGCGAACAAGUACCGUGAGGGAAAGUUGAAAAGUACUCUGAAGAGAGAGUAAACAGUACGUGAAGCCGCAUGCAGGUAAACGGGUGGCGUCAAGCUGUGAGCCCGGAGGAUUCAGCUGAUUAGGGUGUAGUGUACGCGCGCCUAGUGCGUCGAGAGACCAGAAUAAGAUGUAUUGCGGUUCACUCCUAUGCUGGGAGUGGGGCACUAUCGGUGUACACGUGCAAGCGUGUGUAUCGGUUGUCGCUAUGCAUGCCGGAUGGGUGCCGGAGCAUGCCGCUCGUCUGUUGGGUCACCUAGUCAGUGCAUUUUCUCCGUGGUGAACACCACGACCGGUGGAACUGCCAGUCUGCUGUGAUCAAGUCGUGUCCUUCUGACCCCUACCUACCUGCCACUCUCCUUCACUUCCUCUCAAAUAUGGGUGGUGGUGAUGGUAGUAGAUUGGUGGAUGUGUGUGUGUGUGUUGGGGUGGAUACGAUCGCAGAUAGAGUCGGUGG
rnacentral:rRNA from 1 species